AAGAGUUAGGGUCUCUCAGGCCCGACCUCCCAACCCUUUGUUUACUGAACCAUUGUUGCUUCGGUGGGUCCGUCUCACGACCGCCGGGGGGGACCCCUCCCUGGCCCGCACCCGCCGAUAGCCCAACCUUUUAAAAUCCUUUAUGAAUCGUGUCUUAUGUCUAAAUCAUGAUAAUAAAUCAAAUUA
rnacentral:misc_RNA from 1 species